GUGAGGAAUAUUGCGCAAUGGAGGCAACUCUGACGCAGCCAUGCCGCGUGCAGGAAGAAGGCGCUACGCGUUGUAAACUGCUUUUAACCGGGAAGAAACCCCAGGACGUGUCCUGGGUUGACGGUACCGGAGGAAUAAGCACCGGCUAACUUCGUGCCAGCAGCCGCGGUAAUACGAAGGGUGCAAGCGUUAUCCGGAUUUACUGGGUGUAAAGGGCGCGCAGGCGGACUGACAAGUCAGAGGUGAAAUCCUGCAGCUUAACUGCAGAACUGCCUUUGAAACUGCCAGUCUUGAGUGCGGAAGAGAGAGACGGAAUUCCAGGUGUAGUGGUGAAAUACGUAGAUAUCUGGAAGAACACCAGUUGCGAAGGCGGUCUCUUGGUCCGUUACUGACGCUCAGGCGCGAAAGCGUGGGUAGCAAACAGGAUUAGAAACCCGAGUAGUCC
rnacentral:rRNA from 1 species